AUAAUAAUAAUAAUAAUAUUUUUUAAAGCCUCCCGCAUGAGGCUUUGCAUCAGCCUCCCGCAUCACAGCACCAGUCAGGCUGUGCAGAAUACUUACAAUGGAAAUAAAAAAGCAAUUGAAACGUUUCCACGGUUUUUAUUUUCUGCCAACUACAGAGCUGGAGCUAGAACAACCUGAAAAUAACCGUCCCCUUCCCCAGCCUUGUUGUCUAAUAAGUGCAAGAAUCCCUUGAUCCUCAAAUAAAGCUGCCUCCCCUGAGCAGUAAAAUGGAUCUCUCAGAUUGUCUGCCUAUGGAUUACGAGAUCACCUAAAUAGGCAGAAGCCACUCGACUAGCCUCGAGAGAAAGCCCAAUAUUGAUACACCGAGCUUUCCCCUUACAAUAUAGCUGCCAUCGUCUCUGUCCUUAUUUGCCAAGAUGGCACAGCAAUUAGCUUUUCCUCUCUCCAGCAGCCUUAUUAACCAGAGAGGGGGGAGGGGGGAAAAAAGGUGGCGAACAGGUUACUCCCUUAACCUGACCUGGCUGCAGGAGUGAGAUGAGCAACACUGAACAGAUGUCCCCAUUUAAGCCAUUCUUUUCCCACAUGCCUGCUGGAGAUUGCCAUCGCGCAGGAAGCUCGCUUCAAACCUGGCCCAUUCCCGGCCAUAAUGGCCAAGUUAUUCUGGACCAGUGAGCACGAACAAAAUGGGCUUCAGAUCGCGUGCUUUAGAAUAAUUCGACUCUGAGUCCAGGAAAUGCUCCCCCCCGCCCCCCCAUAUCCACCCCUCUUUCCAUUUUUAAAGUAUUGGAUCUGUGAUCGCAGGAGAACUUCUUUUAAAAAGAAAAGGGGGGGAAAAAGAUCGUUAUUCUCCCCUCCCUUCAGCAAAUAUGGUAUAAUUUACAGAGCAACUUCAUAAUCCGAGGGGCACUGCAAAAUCCCUCUUCGUUGUAAACCGCUUCUAAUUACCUGCCAGAGCAAUUAGCUGACUAUCACGAAGAAAUUAGAUCGCUCAAUGUAGCAUAAAUAAUGCGAAUAAUUUUGUAAGGAGAAUGGAAAGCGAGACCUGGUGUUUCUUUAUAAGGAAAUAACACCUCGUACUGUACGAACCCUACAUGAACACAUAUUAAUGUCUAGGCAUGCAUGGAAAUGAAUCCGAACAUGAACCCUCUGGCUUCGAUUCAGCACUUUCUUCAUUUACAUAUGCGGGGUGAAAGUCGGCUUCCAGGCGUUUAGAUACAGAGCUCUUCCAGAUCACAGUAAUUAACACAUAGCGACUUCAAUAGGAAAACCUGUUUUCCAGAUGAUUUUUACAAUGCGGCUUUAUGUCUCAUUUGGCAGUUUAAAUAGCUGGAGUUGUUUUCUGGCUGCAUCUCUACUAUCAUCUGUUGAGCAUAUUUUGCCUAGAAUACUGACCAAAAUUUAGGAUUUAUUUAAUUAUUUACUUAUUUAUUUAUUUAUUUUAGAUGGGUAUUGUACUGUGUACGACUCAAGAUUUGGGACCAUUUCAGUUUAUUGUCGUGCCGGAUGGAUUUCAAGAGGAUUACUUAUUGUUUGGUUAUGCGAGUGUCCUUUAAAAAAAAAAAGUUUUUGACUUUCCUAUCUACUUUCUUUGCUGUAUUUCACACAGGACAAUAGAAAGAAACAUCCUUGCGCGGUUCUCAGUAGUAAGACUGAUUUAUGGCAAGGUGAAACUGGUCUUUCCAAAAUUAAUUCUAGUUCAGGGGAGAUUUUUUUUUUCAGAGGGGAAAAUAUUUAGGCAGGAAUCAAAGUAGCAGGCUAUUUAAUAACACCAUUUAAACGCCUGGUGAAAGUUCAGUUCUGGAAUUUAGCAAGGACAUAUAGAGAUGGGCAUGCAAAGGGGCUGUACACGGUUCCCUUGUGAUGUAACCAGGGUUGAUUUACAGUGUAAUUUUGUCAUGGCGUGUCCUGCUAACACUUAUAUUGUUCUGUACUUUCCUUUUGCUUCCUUCAGUAGUCAGAAAGUUGUUAGGAAAAGAGCUACGUAGAAAGGUGGCGAUCCAGUGUGAACAAAUCGUGAUCAGAAUUAACAGAACCCUUUUGGAGUCAUCUGGAUUGCGUGCAAACAGAAGCGACUGGGUGCAGGAUAUCACUGAAAAAGUCAUUCUGCGACUCUGUGCUGUAGAGUUGGAGAAAAAUAAAAGUCUGCUGAGUUAUUUAAGGAGUUCUUUAGUUUCCUUCGAUUGUUUUUUUUCCGUUGGAAAAAAAAUACAACGAUCUUCCUUUUUUCCCAGUGGACAGUCAGAAAGCUCAGUGAGAACUUCACAGCCUUAUUCAAAGGACUUGCAGGGGGAGAUGGAGCUGAUCUUCCAGGAAGCUGCACACAAUUAAGACUCAUUUUCUUUUCUAGCUGGAAUAAUUAAUUGUACAAAUCAAAGGUCAGACAUUUGCUUUUCCUAUGUUUAUCAAGCACAAUAAUGAACUCCCCCUAUUCCUUUCCCGUACUGUAUUAUAUUGCAAUAAAACGCUGCAAUAGUAACGUCA